GUAUAGUUGGCUGGGUCGUAAGGGGAAACGCAGCCUUGAAAGUACGAUGAUGGGAAAGCUGUUUGUAUCUGCAGCUGACAAAAGUGGCAUUUCGCCAAAUAAAAAAAAAACAGAGGAAGCCAUCAGAAGCUACAUGAAAAGGGGAAAGGAGAGGCUGACAGCCAAAGAAAAUAAAAAUAUGGUUUAAGAUGAAUACUAUUAUUUGUUAAAUUUUAAUAAAAACUUGUUUGAAAUA